GAUGAAGAACGUAGCGAAACGCGAUAGUUAAUGUGAAUUGCAGAAUUCAGUGAAUCAUCGAGUCUUUGAACGCACAUUGCGCCCCUCGGUAUUCCGGAGGGCAUGUCUGUUUGAGCGUCAUUUCAACACCCUCGCUUUAAGCGGUAUUGAGGCGUGGAAUCCAUAUCAAUGGAACCAAGCUUUUAAAGUUGAAGGCAAGCAGAACGAAUGUCUUGAACAAAACAUAGUAAAAUCUUCACGGUUUCUCCCGUUUGUCCUCGAUGUUACGUCUCGCCCAAACAAUUUUUUUUUAGUUUUGACCUCAGAUCAGACAAGGAUACCCGCUGAACUUAAGCAUAUCAAUAAGCGGAGGA
rnacentral:misc_RNA from 1 species